rnacentral:rRNA from 1 species
GUUUAAUUCGAAGCAACGCGCAGAACCUUACCAACCCUUGACAUCCUGAUCGCGGUUACCGGAGACGGUUUCCUUCAGUUCGGCUGGAUCAGUGACAGGUGCUGCAUGGCUGUCGUCAGCUCGUGUCGUGAGAUGUUCGGUUAAGUCCGGCAACGAGCGCAACCCACAUCCCCAGUUGCCAGCAGGUUAUGCUGGGCACUCUGUGGAAACUGCCCGUGAUAAGCGGGAGGAAGGUGUGGAUGACGUCAAGUCCUCAUGGCCCUUACGGGUUGGGCUACACACGUGCUACAAUGGUGGUGACAAUGGGUUAAUCCCCAAAAGCCAUCUCAGUUCGGAUUGGGGUCUGCAACUCGACCCCAUGAAGUCGGAAUCGCUAGUAAUCGCGUAACAGCAUGACGCGGUGAAUACGUUCCCGGGCCUUGUACACACCGC